rnacentral:rRNA from 1 species
GACGAACGCUGGCGGCGUGCCUAAUACAUGCAAGUAGAACGCACAGUUUAUACCGUAGCUUGCUACACCAUAGACUGUGAGUUGCGAACGGGUGAGUAACGCGUAGGUAACCUGCCUGGUAGCGGGGGAUAACUAUUGGAAACGAUAGCUAAUACCGCAUAAUAUUAAUUAUUGCAUGAUAAUUGAUUGAAAGAUGCAACUGCAUCACUACCAGAUGGACCUGCGUUGUAUUAGCUAGUAGGUGAGGUAACGGCUCACCUAGGCGACGAUACAUAGCCGACCUGUGAGGGUGCUCGGCCACACUGGGACUGAGACACGGCCCAGACUCCUACGGGAGGCAGCAGUAGGGAAUCUUCGGCAAUGGACGAAAGUCUGACCGAGCAACGCCGCGUGAGUGAAGAAGGUUUUCGGAUCGUAAAGCUCUGUUGUAAGAGAAGAACGGGUGUGAGAGUGGAAAGUUCACACUGUGACGGUAUCUUACCAGAAAGGGACGGCUAACUACGUG